CGACCGGCGCACGGGUGAGUAACGCGUAUGCAACUUACCUAUCAGAGGGGGAUAGCCCGGCGAAAGUCGGAUUAAUACCCCAUAAAACAGGGGUCCCGCAUGGGAAUAUUUGUUAAAGAUUCAUCGCUGAUAGAUAGGCAUGCGUUCCAUUAGGCAGUUGGCGGGGUAACGGCCCACCAAACCGACGAUGGAUAGGGGUUCUGAGAGGAAGGUCCCCCACAUUGGUACUGAGACACGGACCAA
rnacentral:rRNA from 1 species